ensembl:lncRNA
GUUUCCCAAGAAAUUGUGGUGAUUCCAUGUUUUAUUAUACUACAUUGGCUUAUUUUUAUUUUAAUAAAAAAUUUAUAUGCAAAAGAAAAGCAUAUUUUUUCCUCUCUCUUAAUCCAUAAACCUCAUUGACAUUUAAGAUUAACUUAAUUUCUAAUAAUAUAAACAGGAAGUGACUUUUUCUUAAAGUUACUAAAUAAAUAAAGCCAACCAUAUUUUCAUUGAAAUAAAAUUUGACAAAACAGUUUUUAAGUUCUGGAGAAGAACUCAUUCUCUAAAUGAGUAAUUAAAACCUGCUUAAUCUAAUAAAGUAGAUUCUCUAUGGACCUCCUAUAAUAGACAAAAUUUUGUUAAUCUGAGUUGAGCGAUAAUAUGAAUUUAGAGGAAAUAAACUGCAUUUUGGGGGAAAAAACAAACACGUUAUAUGUAAGAACUCUCAUUUAUCCACACUGGCUCCCCAGUGGACCCCAAGAACUGUAUUUACAAAAAAGCCUGCACAGCAUUUGAUAGGUAACUGUCUUCUCCAGCUGGGAAGUGGAAAACCAAACUCCCUCCAGUGAUGGCUAGGGAUGUUUUCCUUUGGGAAGACAGAGUUUGUUUUUCUGCUCCUUCUUUCGCCCAGGUCAAACUGAUCUUGUUGAUCGGACACUUCCUCUCUUGUCCAACAAUUUCCCACUGAAAAGUGAGACCAUUCUGGUCAACUAGCUUUUCCCGUGCCAGCAAAGGGAGCUCCGUGCAGACUGGAGGAUGGCAUUGUCUGAUCAUCCUCCCAAGGGAGAGGAUACAGUGCAAAAUUCUUCCUCCAGGGCCUCCCAGAAGUGUGGCUGACACAAGAGUGGAUCAUAAUCUGGGUUAUGGCACCUUUGAGCAUAAACAUGCUACUUAGAAUGUCACAUAUAUGUGUUAUAUAUGUAUGUAUCUGCAAAGAUACAACCGUGUAUAUAUCUCUGUAUUGUCAAGAAAGAAGCCUUGAUGAGGCCAACAAAGGUUUCCUUAGACCCUAGAGCUCUCUAAAGAACUUGCUUUAAUUAAUAGAUCAGAAUAGUUUGUAUUCAACAUAUCAAAUAAGUAGAUGAUUGAUAGAUAAAUAGAUAGGUUGAUUUAGAAGUCAGAUAGACCUGUUUAUACCAAUUACUGGCUGAAGGAGCCUUGAUAAGGUAUUAAGUUUUCCUAAACCUAAAUUUACUUGUCUGUAAAAUGGGUUCAAUUACCUCUCCAGAUGGUUUCAAGGCAUAAAUGAAACAGUGUCUGUAAAGUGCUUAUUAAAGUGACUUACAUAAUACAAGCCUCAAUACAGAGAAAACAUUACCAGCAUCAUUCUUGUUGAGGAACAGUUAAUUUGGGGGCAUCUUUGUGAGGUGGGGAUUUCAGAACGGUAAGGAGACAGACUGCAUUAAUGGAAAGCCUCCCACACACAUCCGUGUAAAUGGAUACUUCCCGCAACAAUGCACAGCUUAAGGGGGGCCAGUCACCUGGUGGUCAAAUGUUUCCCAAGUCGCUGAGGGUGAGACAGUGCUGCUGGGGAACCCAGCUUGAGUUCCUGGUUCAAGAAUCACACCUGUGAAAUUCGAUCCAGGUGGGAAAUUCUUCGAGUUGACUCUGCUGAAGCCAUGGUUCAUUAUCAAGUUAUUUCUCUGGGUCACUCUGAGGUCAUCUCCUUAAUUAACGUAUCAGCCAAGAGAUGCCACAAAAUCCAAGCUGCUCAGCCUUUGCCUCCAAGUCCAUCACAGCCCCUCUCCUUCACUGAAAACUUUUUUGGUGCCAGGCACCAGGCAAAGAGCCUCUGUACAUCACUUUAUUUAAUCUUCUAACAACCCUCUCGGGGAGCGGCUACAACAAUCACCAUUUAAAGAUGAAGAAUCUAGGGGCCUGCCCGGUGGCGCAGUGGUUAGUGCGCACGUUCCACAUCAGCGGGCUGGGGCUCGCCAGUUCGGAUCCUGGGUGCGGACGUGGCACCACUUGGCACGCCAUGCUGUGGCAGGCAUCCCACAUAUAAAGUAGAGGAAGAUGGGCAUAGACAUUAGCUCAGGGCCAGUCUUCCUCAGCAAAAAGAGGAGGAUUGGCAGCAGUUAGCUCAGGACUAAUCUUUCUAAAAAAAAACAAAAAAAGAUGAAGACUCUCAGGCUUGCAAGCUCCAGUCAUUUGCCCAGGAUCACAGCUAGCAAACGGUGGAGCCGAAAUUGCAGGAAACCGUGGAGAUCUUUCCAUCAGGCUAUGCUCCCCAGAAAACCAUUAAUCCCACUUUUCUCUCCUCUGUCACGUGUUUAUAUUGCAUCUGAGAACAAAAGGAGGUUUAAAAUCCUCAUUUUUCUCACCUGCUAAAGAGCAACACAGCCUGUUGUUACUAAUCAAGCCUUACCUUGCUCCAGGCUCUCCAGACUAUUCCGCCUAUCCUCAUAUGGCAUCUCUGAUCACCCCAAUCCGUGCUAGGGAUUCCUUCCAGCCUUUCAAAAAACAACUGGUAACAAUUUAGCAAUUAGUUUAAAUCUCUUUAGUUGGGCUAAGAUGCCCCUUUUCAGGGGCACCUGGUUGGAGCAAGAGUGCCACCUGGUGGAACAUUUGGGUCACUGCCAACACUUGUUCCUUGGUCAAAGGUGGCAAAGCCGGCUUUGAACAGAAAUGGACAAGGAGCAGUGUUCACGCCGCCUGGGACCGUGCCCAGAAAUAACUCAGCAGCGUCCAGGCACGAACUUACUGAAACUCAAAGUCUUGCUGAAACACAAGUUUGGGACGUUAAGGGUCCAAGACCACUCGGCCACAACAAGCCUGGGCGAGGACGCUUGUCAACACCACGUGCCCUCACCUAACCUUGGUCAGGGCAAGCUGAAGGCCUGCCUGGGGAUGUUCCUGUCUCAAGAAUGACCGAGCUGAAUGCCCACAUCAGGCCCGGUCACCGUAAAGCACUGUGUCUACACUGGGUCAUUCCAGUUCUCUGACCCACAGCCUGAAGCUAGGUGGGGAGUUCUUUACCUGGAGUGUAGAAGUGACUUUGGAAGGGGGGAUGGUUCUGGAAACUUCUCAAAUUUUAUGCAAAACUACAUGCAUUUUUCUGGGGAGAUGGUUUAUCACUUUCCUUCCACUCCCCAAAGAUCCCUGACCGGUAAAGGGUAAGAAUCACAACGGUUUUCAUGAAGGCCCUCAGGGUUUAUCACGGGUCUAUGCAAGGAAUAGCAACAAGCAACAUCUUCCUAUGCCUGGCCUGGUAAAACAAAUAUCAAUGGCCUUAUCAGUGGUAUAUAAACAGUGUGGGGCGAUCCUGAUAAAAGGCCCAAGCAUUUUUCAGAGUUCAGAGGAAGGAAAAAAUCCUCUCUUGAUAAAGUGGAAUCUCCGCUGGAUGUUGAGAACUGGAGAGUCCACGUUGCCUUCCCUGCCUUUUGUUCCCCGCUUAAAAUCUCUUUCAGCCUUGCUAUUUUCAAGCAAAGUUCUUUUGCAAGCUCCAGACUUUCCUCUAGAAUAUCCUUCUGCCCUUUUGGCAUCCUCCACUCAUCCUUCAAGAUCAGUUUUCUCAACAUUUCCGGGCAGGGCUAUGUACCUCACAUAGUCCUGUUAUCACAUAGAUGACUUUUCUAGAAUUAUUUGCAUAUUUAUCUACAAGACUGUGAUCCCAUCAAGGCAGGAACCCAAUUGUAUUAGUUUCCAUAUCCCCAGCACCUAGCACAGAGUAUAAAAAAAAAAAAAGGUUAGAUGGAUGAAUAAAGAAACAGAUCCAUGAAUAAAUGAACAAUCCCCCUGACCACCUUCAUUUCCUAGAUGGGGAAAGUGGCCCUCUGAUAGACACCAGCAUGCCAAUGAGACUGAGCCAGGCAGGGCGUCCCCAGGAGCCACACCCAGGCCAGCUGCAGGCCACUCGGCAGCUGUGUGGGUCUGAGAUCCUGCCGCACCCUCCAGCCUCUUGGCAGUUCUUGCUCCAGCAUGCCACCAUGUCUCACUUUCUCUUCUAUUUUGCUCCUUGGUUCAGAGCACACAGUAGGGAGACACGAACCAGGGGAAUUCAGAGGUAAGAAAUGGUGACUGGCAGAUGCCAGCUGUCCCCCUGGCAGGGUCUGGGAAACCUGAAUCUUCUCUGUGACUCUGUCCUUACCACAGUGAGGACCAAAAUGAGAAACUCUGACUCUUUCAAACUUACUUCACCAGCAGGAUCCUGAGAGCUGAAUUUCAGGCCCAGAAAUGCAUUGUCCAUGAACCUAAACAGCGAAUUUUACUUUGCUUCCUCCCACCGGAAUUAGAUUCACGAGAAGUCUGAUAAAAUCUCCAAACGGCUGCUCCAAGCUCUGCUUGUCCCAGACGCAUGGCAGAAACUGGAAAGAGCUGGGAGGAGGGAAGCCUCGCCAGCUGGUUCUGGUCCUGCCCUGAAGUGGGGGAAAACGCCUCUGAGGGGACCCGUAGGCCCAAACACAGCUGUGGUCAUUACUGAAUCAUUAGACUUGCCACAAACGAGAGAAAAGUUUCAAACAGCGAAGAGGACUUCUCCGUGGUCUGCUGAAUGGGGUUUCUCUUUGUGUUUUGGUUCCUUCUGGUGGCGUGGCCUGGCCUGCAGGGUUUCCUCAAAGCCGCAGGAGCCCCUCAGCCCCUCAUGUUGCCUCUCAGGAGCUCUCCUCAGUGGGGCAAAGGACUUCUUUUUUUUUUUUUAAGGUAGGUAAGUCUGGAAAAGACUCAGAGUUUUGAGUCAUUGUUUUGUGCACAGUGAUUUGACCUUCUCUGAUCCACUUCUCAGAAUUACAGGUCCCUUUUCUGAAGAACACAAAAGCCUACAGAGGAAAACAGGAAUAUUCCAAAUUUAUAACUGGAAAAAGGGAAACCCCGUCACGCAAAUGUUCGCCCGGUUCAGUCGCCCCACCUCUUCCAGAUGUUGGUAGAAAUGGCCCACUUACCUCUCAUCCCACAGUUUUCUGUCCUAAGUCUUAUCCGUCACUCUAUACCCUAGAUCUUUCUGUUCCCUUUCGUACCUACUAAGUGUGUAAUAAAUAUUAAUUGACAGACUAAAGGCAAAUUAAA